UACGUGCCAGCAGCCGCGGUAAGACGUAGGACGCAAGCGUUAUCCGGAUUUACUGGGCGUAAAGCGCCUGUAGGCGGUCAAGUAAGUCGGAUGUGAAAGCCCCGUGCUCAACGCGGGGAAGCCAUUCGAUACUGCGUGACUAGAGAACGGCAGAGGGAAACGGAAUUUCUGGUGUAGCGGUAAAAUGCGCAGAGAUCAGAAAGAACACCGAUGGCGAAGGCAGUUUCCUAGGCCGCAUCUGACGCUGAGAGGCGAAAGCUAGGGGAGCAAACAGGAUUAGAGACCCUGGUAGUCCUAGCUGUAAACGAUGGAUGCUAGGUGUGGGCCGGAAAGGUCCGUGCCGUAGUUAACGCGAUAAGCAUCCCGCCUGGGGAGUACGGCCGCAAGGCUAAAACUCAAACGAAUUGACGGGGACCCGCACAAGCAGCGGAGCGUGUGGUUUAAUUCGAUGCUACACGCAGAACCUUACCUGGGCUUGACAUGUAGGUGGUAGUGAAGUGAAAGCGGAGCGACCCUUCGGGGAGCCUACACAGGUGCUGCAUGGCUGUCGUCAGCUCGUGCCGUGAGGUGUCGAGUUAAGUCCCGUAACGAGCGCAACCCUUGUCCUUAGUUACAAGUGUCUAAGGAGACUGCCGGUGACAAACCGGAGGAAGGUGGGGAUGACGUCAAGUCAGCAUGGCCCUUAUGUCCAGGGCGACACACACGCUACAAUGGUCGGUACAAUGGGCAGCGCAGCCGCGAGGUGAAGCGAAUCCCAACAAAGCCGAUCCCAGUUCGGAUUGCAGGCUGCAACCCGCCUGCAUGAAGCCGGAGU
rnacentral:rRNA from 1 species